rnacentral:tRNA from 1 species
GUGGCUUUGUUGGUUAAAGCGCCGAACUAGCGAUCCGGAAUCAUGGGUUUGAAUCCCUUUUUUCACA